AAUCAACGCUGGCGGCGUGCCUCAGACAUGCAAGUCGAACGAUUAAAGCUCCCUUCGGGGGAGUGCAUAGAGUGGCGCACGGGUGAGUAACACGUAAGUAAUCUACCCUCGGGUGGGGAAUAACGUUCGGAAACGGACGCUAAUACCGCAUAAUGCAGCGGCACCGCAAGGUGACAGUUGUUAAAGAUUUAUUGCCUGGGGAGGAGCUUGCGGCAGAUUAGCUUGUUGGUAAGGAACGGCUUACCAAGGCUACGAUCUGUAUCCGGUCUAAGAGGACGGUCGGACACACUGACACUGAAUAACGGGUCAGACUCCUACGGGAGGCAGCAGUCGGGAAUUUUGGGCAAUGGGGGAAACCCUGACCCAGCAACGCCGCGUGAAGGAU
rnacentral:rRNA from 1 species